GGUUUUAUUUUUAAAAAGUCCGGUCGCUUCUAUGACAUCAUUCAGUUGUCCGCAGUGCUCUCACAACAUAAGGCCGUAAGCCGAAUCCUCCCGGUGUAGAAAUCGUUCGCUUUCCGCCCAUCAAAAACACCCUCCGUCGUGCAAUUAGAAGUGCGUAUUUCCGUUAACGGUAGUGUUGAUUUGAUAGAAAACUUGUUAUUGUCAGUGCAUAAUUGGUAGAAAAUUGUGUGCAAAUAUAACAUUAUCAGAGUGACAUUUGGGAUCUUUGAAAUUAGUGACUGAAGACGGAUCUUUAGAGGCGAAGUGAAAGUUUUCAAUACUGCAAAUUCGUCCAGCAAAAACAAACGGGAAAGCAUCUCGUUCUUACUCUCACCAAACGCUCUUUUGGUCACAUUAAUAUACAGCCGUUUCUCUUUGCUAGAAAUCUCCUGACAGUUCUGCUGGCUGAAUCCUUUUCCAACGUGCCAACCGAAACUGUGUGAGUGUGAACGAAAAUUGGGGAUUUCCUUCAUUACGUGACGUUGUUGGCUCGGGCCUGUGGAUGAGUCAUCCUUUGCGCUGAUGAACCUAUAGCUAGACAUAACAAUUGUAUACAGAGAGUUAAACCUGCAAAAGAGAGGGUGAAAGGCUCCAACUGAAAGAGUGCCGUAACGCUUUCUAGCUAAAGGAAGAAGCUAGUGGAGCUGGCAAGCAUCAAAAUAGUGAGACAUAAAUAGACCAACUUUGGUACCAAAAUCCGGCAGUUCGUGACCCACAAUUACCGACUUGCCACCCAUUUGCAGUUCGGAUUUUGGUUUAAAUGUGCUGAUUCCCGAUCGACCACCAAUCAGGACGAUUGAAAACAGGAAACUGGAGUUUUUUAUCUCUCUGACAGUGUCGAAAAAAAAAAAUCGUAAACGAAGACAACCGUCGAGACAUGAAAUCUUCAAAGCUAUCAAAAAACCCAGACGAAUUCUCGAAAGGAUUUGCGCUUGCACGAUACGGGUGUACCUGCAAUAAAAAGAAGGAAGCACAUAAGGAAAGAUAGAGAUAACUUUUUUCCUUGUUACUUGUAUAAGGGUGAAAUUUGUAUGCAAAUGUACACCGUUGUCGGGAAAAUAGACGCUACACGCUUGUUCUACUUAUAAUGAAACAAAUAUCCGUGUAGGAAUAUGUUUAUAACAGCAAUUCAAAAGCAAGUUAUUCUGUUCUGCGCUAAUCUAGUUCUAGCGGUAAAUGAUUUUACUCGAAGCAAGGUAGCUAAAUUUCAGACAAUGUAAAACGUUCCUGAUAAAUGUAGAUUUGGCUCUUUCCGUCAGCUCUCUGGCCAACAUUGGAA